AUUGAACGCUGGCGGCAGGCCUAACACAUGCAAGUCGAGCGGAGCGGCGGACGGGUGAGUAAUGCCUAGGAAUCUGCCUGGUAGUGGGGGAUAACGUACGGAAACGGGCGCUAAUACCGCAUACUAUCAGAUGAGCCUAGGUCGGAUUAGCUAGUUGGUGGGGUAAAGGCCUACCAAGGCGACGAUCCGUAACUGGUCCGAGAGGCUGAUCAGUCACACUGGAACUGAGACACGGUCCAUGCUCCUACGGUAGGCAGCAGUGGGGAAUAUUGGACAAUGGGCGAAAGCCUGAUCCAGCCAUGCCGCGUGUGUGAAGAAGGUCUUCGGAUUGUAAAGCACUUUAAGUUGGGAGGCGUUACCAACAGAGUAAGCACCGGCUAACUUCGUGCCAGCAGCCGCGGUAAUAC
rnacentral:rRNA from 1 species